UUUAAUCUGAAACAGGGAGGUUGGACUGGAUGUUUAAUCUGAAACAGGGACAGAGGUUGGACUGGAUGUUUAAUCUGAAACAUGGAGGUUGGACUGGAUGUUUAAUCUGAAACAUGGACAGAGGUUGGACUGGAUGUUUAAUCUGAAACAUGGAGGUUGGACUGGAUGUUUAAUCUGAAACAGGGACAGAGGUUGGACUGGAUGUUUAAUCUGAAACAUGGACAGAGGUUGGACUGGAUGUUUAAUCUGAAACAUGGAGGUUGGACUGGAUGUUUAAUCUGAAACAUGGACAGAGGUUGGACUGGAUGUUUAAUCUGAAACAGGGACAGAGGUUGGACUGGAUGUUUAAUCUGAAACAUGGACAGAGGUUGGACUGGAUGUUUAAUCUGAAACAGGGACAGAGGUUGGACUGGAUGUUUAAUCUGAAACAUGGACAGAUGUUGGACUGGAUGUUUAAUCUGAAACAGGGACAGAGGUUGGACUGGAUGUUUAAUCUGAAACAUGGACAGAGGUUGGACUGGAUGUUUAAUCUGAAACAUGGAGGUUGGACUGGAUGUUUAAUCUGAAACAGGGACAGAGGUUGGACUGGAUGUUUAAUCUGAAACAUGGAGGUUGGACUGGAUGUUUAAUCUGAAACAGGGACAGAGGUUGGACUGGAUGUUUAAUCUGAAACAGGGACAGAGGUUGGACUGGAUGUUUAAUCUGAAACAUGGACAGAGGUUGGACUGGAUGUUUAAUCUGAAACAUGGAGGUUGGACUGGAUGUUUAAUCUGAAACAGGGACAGAGGUUGGACUGGAUGUUUAAUCUGAAACAUGGACAGAGGUUGGACUGGAUGUGUAAUCUGAAACAUGGACAGAGGUUGGACUGGAUGUUUAAUCUGAAACAGGGACAGAGGUUGGACUGGAU